UACGUAGGGUGCAAGCGUUGUCCGGAAUUAUUGGGCGUAAAGAGCUCGUAGGCGGUUUGUUGCGUCGGCUGUGAAAUCCCGAGGCUCAACCUCGGGUCUGCAGUCGAUACGAGCAAACUAGAGUGUUGCAGGGGAGACUGGAAUUCCUGGUGUAGCGGUGAAAUGCGCAGAUAUCAGGAGGAACACCGGUGGCGAAGGCGGAUCUCUGGGCCGUUACUGACGCUGGAGGAGCGAAAGCGUGGGGAGCGAACAGG
rnacentral:rRNA from 1 species